UUUAGAAGCAGAAUGGAUUCAAGCAUGAGAGUAGUAGUUGGAAGCAGAAAAAGAAGCACUAGCAGAAUGGGCUCCCUUGACCUUGGUGGAAUGGAGUGAAUAAUUGCAGAGUUGUUGGCGAGUGUGGAUUUCAGCAGCAUGAUCACAGGCUUAGGCACCCCAGAUCAUAGAUUCAGAUGCAGCACUGUGGGGAUACAGCUCCAGCUGAACUUGUCCAGAAUUUCCAGAAAUCCAUGCAGUUAAAAAGAGAAGAAAGUACACUUUGAAAUUGCAAGCCGCUGAAUGCUCCCAGCUCAUGACUUCUGGAUCAGUCACAAGCAGCUCACUGGAACAUGGGUCCUGUGGCUCAAGAUUUCUGACACUAAAAUUGUCAUCUCAAUUUUUCUGCAUUUAAUUUUCAAGUCUUUUCAAAUGGCAUGGUUACAUUGUCCGUGGCAUAAAUUUGAAAGUGGAAUUUGCAUUUAGAACGCUGUAAAAUACACUAUUCCUUCGGGUAUUUUUGGAGCGCGUCCAUAUAAAUCAAGAUAAGAAUACUAAAAGCAAAGCCAUUUGAUUAGGUACUAAAUGCAAAACAUUACAAGACUGUGAUAUAACAGCCACCACAAACUUAAAGUCAGCCUGCUUAUACACCAUCAUCCAGAGUGGAAAAUUAAAAUGACAGGUUUAAGAGAUAAAGACAAUCUUGCUCUGAUUCAGCCUUAGGGGUCUUUCCAGUUUAUCUCUGUUAUGAGGUGUAAUGUAAUAUUACAUACACAUCUAUUCUAAACAUUCAGACUUUCAUAGAUAUGUCAGAAAGAUAACUCUUGAUGUGAAAACAAAGUGAAUUAUGACCUUGUGAAAGUUCUCUAAUUUACUUUUAUGUGGGCCUGCUUACCUCUACCACCCAAGAUUCCUGAGAGGUAUGGAAGAGAAAGAUAACAGUUGAAUUUUCAAGG